rnacentral:snRNA from 1 species
AUACUUACCUGGACGGGGUCGACGGCUGAUCAAGAAAAGUCAUGGCCUAGGCUAGUGGUCCACAUUGCACUUGAUGGAUGCGCUGGCCUACCAUCUCCCUAAGUGGGAGAGUGGACGUCGUAAUUUAUGGUAGAGGGGGUACGCGUUCGCGCGGCCCCUGC